UAGGGAAUCUUCCACAAUGGACGAAAGUCUGAUGGAGCAAUGCCGCGUGAGUGAAGAAGGUUUUCGGAUCGUAAAGCUCUGUUGUAAGGGAAGAACAAGUAUGGGAGUAACUGCCCGUACCUUGACGGUACCUUAUUAGAAAGCCACGGCUAACUACGUGCCAGCAGCCGCGGUAAUACGUAGGUGGCAAGCGUUGUCCGGAAUUAUUGGGCGUAAAGCGCGCGCAGGCGGCCUUUUAAGUCUGAUGUGAAAGCCCCCGGCUCAACCGGGGAAGGUCAUUGGAAACUGAAGGGCUUGAGUACAGAAGAGGAAAGCGGAAUUCCACGUGUAGCGGUGAAAUGCGUAGAGAUGUGGAGGAACACCAGUGGCGAAGGCGGCUUUCUGGUCUGUAACUGACGCUGAGGCGCGAAAGCGUGGGGAGCAAACAGGAUUAGAUACCCUGGUAGUCCACGCCGUAAACGAUGAGUGCUAAGUGUUAGGGGGUUUCCGCCCCGUUAGUGCUGGAGCAAACGCAUUAA
rnacentral:rRNA from 1 species